rnacentral:rRNA from 2 species
CUUACACAUGCAGUCGAACGCUGAAGCCUGGUGCUUGCACCGGGUGGAUGAGUGGCGAACGGGUGAGUAACACGUGAGUAACCUGCCCCUGACUUCGGGAUAAGCCCGGGAAACUGGGUCUAAUACCGGAUACGACUGCCGGACGCAUGUCUGGUGGUGGAAAGUUUUUUCGGUUGGGGAUGGGCUCGCGGCCUAUCAGUUUGUUGGUGAGGUAAUGGCUCACCAAGACGACGACGGGUAGCCGGCCUGAGAGGGCGACCGGCCACACUGGGACUGAGACACGGCCCAGACUCCUACGGGAGGCAGCAGUGGGGAAUAUUGCACAAUGGGGGAAACCCUGAUGCAGCGACGCAGCGUGCGGGAUGACGGCCUUCGGGUUGUAAACCGCUUUCAGCAGGGAAGAAGCGCAAGUGACGGUACCUGCAGAAGAAGUACCGGCUAACUACGUGCCAGCAGCCGCGGUAAUACGUAGGGUACGAGCGUUGUCCGGAAUUAUUGGGCGUAAAGAGCUCGUAGGUGGUUGGUCACGUCUGCUGUGGAAACGCAACGCUUAACGUUGCGCGUGCAGUGGGUACGGGCUGACUAGAGUGCAGUAGGGGAGUCUGGAAUUCCUGGUGUAGCGGUGAAAUGCGCAGAUAUCAGGAGGAACACCGGUGGCGAAGGCGGGACUCUGGGCUGUAACUGACACUGAGGAGCGAAAGCAUGGGGAGCGAACAGGAUUAGAUACCCUGGUAGUCCAUGCCGUAAACGUUGGGCACUAGGUGUGGGGGGCAUUCCACGUUCUCCGCGCCGUAGCUAACGCAUUAAGUGCCCCGCCUGGGGAGUACGGUCGCAAGGCUAAAACUCAAAGGAAUUGACGGGGGCCCGCACAAGCGGCGGAGCAUGCGGAUUAAUUCGAUGCAACGCGAAGAACCUUACCAAGGCUUGACAUACACCGGACCGUCCUGGAAACAGGUCUUCUUCUUUGAAGCUGGUGUACAGGUGGUGCAUGGUUGUCGUCAGCUCGUGUCGUGAGAUGUUGGGUUAAGUCCCGCAACGAGCGCAACCCUCGUUCUAUGUUGCCAGCACGUGAUGGUGGGAACUCAUAGGAGACUGCCGGGGUCAACUCGGAGGAAGGUGGGGAUGACGUCAAAUCAUCAUGCCCUUUAUGUCUUGGGCUUCACGCAUGCUACAAUGGCUGGUACAGAGAGAGGCGAACCCGUGAGGGCAAGCGAAUCCCUUAAAGCCAGUCUCAGUUCGGAUCGUAGUCUGCAAUUCGACUACGUGAAGUCGGAGUCGCUAGUAAUCGCAGAUCAGCAACGCUGCGUGAAUACGUUCCGGGCCUUGUACACACCGGCCCGUCA